rnacentral:rRNA from 1 species
UUAUCCGGAUUUAUUGGGUUUAAAGGGAGCGUAGGCGGACGUUUAAGUCAGUUGUGAAAGUUUGCGGCUCAACCGUAAAAUUGCAGUUGAUACUGGGUGUCUUGAGUACGGUAGAGGCAGGCGGAAUUCGUGGUGUAGCGGUGAAAUGCUUAGAUAUCACGAAGAACUCCGAUUGCGAAGGCAGCUUGCUGGACUGUAACUGACGCUGAUGCUCGAAAGUGUGGGUAUCAAACAGGAUUAGAUACCCUGGUAGUCCACACAGUAAACGAUGAAUACUCGCUGUUUGCGAUAUACAGUAAGCGGCCAAGCGAAAGCGUUAAGUAUUCCACCUGGGGAGUACGCCGGCAACGGUGAAACUCAA